CCGCACCGCCGAGAUGCUGGUCGACUAGGCCAUGGAGCUCCACAAGGCCAAGCACGAGAAGAGCCUGUAGAAGAGGAGCCCUCAACUAAUCGGCUGCCCUCGCUGUCCCCGGCCAGAUCGACGGGCUUCCUGAUUCGUGAAUUCAUGUUCGGUGCUGUGCGUUGUCCCCGGCCAGAUCGACAGGCUUCCUGAUUCGUGAAUUCAUGUUCGGUGCUGUGCGUUGUCGAAGCUUGGCGUUGACUGAAGAUCUUCGUGGGCGUUCUUAAGAAGGGCGAGGUCACCAAAGGUCUGUACUAGGGGAAGCCGGAUGCUACCAUCUCCUUCACUGACAACGAUUUCCUUGUAAUCACCAGCAGCAAGACGAACCUGCAGAUUGCAUUUAUCCGAGGAGCUAUUAAGAUCAAGGGGAGCAUAAGCGCCGCGCAGAAGUUCACCCCUGACAUAUUCCCCUAGCCGGCGAAGCUGUAGGAGGUCAUAUUGUAUUAUUUGGUCACGGUUGGAUAAUAAGGUUUGCAGGCUUCAACCGCUGUGUACCUGAUAGGAUGAGUGGUACUGAACAACACACGAUCAUCUGAUCUUUACCAGUGGAAUUUGGAUAAUGCCUUGGUUAAUCUAUCACUUAAACAGUACUACACAAUUUUAAGCUAUUCCGUAUAUGUGCUGUUUUCUUUUCUCUGCAUUAUUCUUCUUUAGCUGAUUUUUUUCUUUUUUUUUCUCCGCUCCUGAACUGCCAACAGCACACGACGACGAAGGGGCCGAAGUCGGCUGCAGCGUGUGAAGCCAUGAAGCUCUGCAGCUUGGGUCCAAGGAGGGCGAUCUUCUCUGCGUGGAUCCAUGGAGGGCGGACUCCUCUGCCUGGAUCCGCGUCAGAGGUGCCCAGCGAGCGCUGCCUGCCCCGGCCUCCACGGAACAGUAGGGAAAUGAUGUGGGCUCCAUGAUUCUGCUCGUUGAGGUAGAGAUUAGGCCCGAAGCUUAGGUACACUAUUCAUCCUGCUUCUUAAUCUUGCCAUCAUAUGUAAUUUUGACAUGAUUACAAAUGUAGCAUAUAUAUUUGUUUGCAGCAUUGAUCAACAGCUUAAUGUUUGUAUGUUAGAUUAAGCCAAUGGCUGCUUCAGGAUGCACUAAUUUAUUGGGUAAUUUGUUCAGUUCAAGGCAUUCUAAUUAUUAAUUAGUUCUGGUACAGUACAUAUUUUUGCCCCUCUUUUUUCCCACCAUUUCUUUUAUUUUUCAUUGAAACAUGAACUGUACGGUGGUUUGUGACUAUCAUGCAAGUUGGAAACCUUUUGCCAUGGUUGCAACAUGUCCAUAUUGCUUAAAAGAAUUUUAGAGCCUUUAUUUCAGUUCAAUAGGACUGUAUAUGCACAAUUCCAAUUUAUCAAUUAUACACAGCUUUUGAAUUAUUAGUCACAAUAAUUAUGUCCAAAAGCCAGUUAUAUUACAAUAAUAAUGCUGAUAAUUUGGUUACAUAUAUGAGCUCACAUAGGUAUCAUUUGGUUACAGCAGGGAGGAUGUGGGGAAAUUCUUUUCAUUUAUCUGACUUAGGGUAUCCUCCACCAUGAUCAUGUAAAAUUGUAGCAAAUCUCACAUCCUGAUCAGGUAAAAACGCUUAACAUGUUGUCAGGUGGAUUAGUGAUGUGUUGGGACAAAAUUGCUUAACAUGUUGUCAGGCUCAAGUAAAUUGAAACAAAAAAAAGAAAGUUAACCUCCAAUUGUCCUGGCUGUUUGGACUUCAAAGUGUAUGUGGUAAAAAUGUACUCAGUUUGCUAACUACUUUGAAUUUAUUUGUAUAUAAGUUUUGAAAGGAGAAGAAUAAAAUAGUCAGCCAUGUAUCAAUAUCUAUGUACGUAUUGUUUCCUUUAGGCUUUUACUUUACGGAUAAGUGUAGCAGGUUGCUUCCCGGUUGGUGGACAUGUUUUUCUUAACAACUGAUUGUGAGAUGUACGAGUGUCUUGAGAUUCAUUCUGUUAGCAUUCACUGCAGAAUGUGGGAGAACAUUUUGAGACUUGGAAUGCAAGAAUUCUAGGUUCCGUGAUACUGGAUGGCCUGAAUGGGGCAGAAGAGAAUUCACAUGGCAGAAAUGGACCUAUCAGGUUACUUAGGAUGUAUUAAGCUGAAUUUAUUUUGUAUUGAUGAGAAUCUUUUUUUCUUUGUAGUGAUAUUCGAGAUUGACAAGACACUCUAAAAAUUGCUGUUGGAGAUGGUCAUCAUGGGCCAAGAUAAUGCUUUGUCGACCAGAUAUGGGAGGUUUGUUCCUCUGUUUAUUUGUUCCAGCAUUGCCAUGUUCGCAAUAUUGUUUAGAAAACUUAGAUAGUGUAUAUUGGAGUUGUUGAAAAAAUUCUGGUUGGACAUAUAUAUUCGAUUUAGAUGUCUAUUUUUGUUGAGUUAUCAUUCUAAAAAUUUAUGGUACAACUUGUAUAGAAAAAUCAGUAGAUGCAUCUUUCAAGUUCCUGUUAUAUAUUUCUCGCAAAAAAAAAGGUUCCUGAUAUAUGAUCUUCCUAUGGAAAGCACUGAUUUGAAAAUUUUUGUCUAGAAUGUUUUUUACUCAUUAACUCAAAUGAUUCCUGUCAGUCAGCUUCCAGGUGAUGUUUCUUUGUUUUGGUUUUCCACUCUUAGUUUCAAUUACUCAUAAGUGCAUCCCUUGGUUUGUUAUGUGUAAUGGUUUUUAUUUGUUCUGUCAGGCAUGGGUGAAGCCAUGGAGUGAAAAUUGGGAGAUAACAACUUCGACAAAAAAAAUGUUAUCAUGUCUGCUUAUCCAAAUAUUUUUUAUAAUUCUCCCUUUUUUCAGAAUCUACAAUUUUUAGUAUGCACGUAUCUUCUUUUGCAGCUGCAGUAUUCCUUCUUAGACUACCAUGGAUCAUCAUGCAAAAUGGUUAUUCAGUUUUCAGAAGAAGCAACAGUGAUCUAUCUACCUGGGGAAAUGGAUCAUUGUCCAACUAUGUCAUUUUUUCUGCUCACUAAGAAAUGUAUUUGCAUCAGAAAAAGCAACAUUCUAAUGAAACUCUAGGAAUCACUAAGAAAUCAUUAGCUAAUUUCUAUCUCUUAUUGGUUCUUACAUUCUUUUACCUCCAUGUAAAUAUGACUAGCCAUUUUUCUACCGAACAACCAUGCAUGAUACACAUGUUUACUUGAUCUUGUGUACUGGUUUUAGAAAUGAAACCAUGGUUACAUAUUAUGGUUGCAUUAAGGUAGAUUCUAAAACAUUGCUCCAUACAUCUUUUUGCAGCUUGUUAAGAAGCAAUGUGUCUAGGCAGGCAGGCCCAUGAUGAUGGAGUGCUCAACAAUAGGUCUUUCAUGAGUCAAUACACAUGUAUAGGCUUCUUUGCCGACCAAUGACCGGUGCUGCCUACCUGACAUUCAACUUGGCUAUCCUCAUCCAAUAUACUUCGUAUUUCCUCUUUGAUUUGGGCAGGUAGCUUUAACUUUUAUUAGCUCAUUAUCUUUGCUUUUACUUACUCUUGUUUCUUCGCAGUAUAAAAAAUGAAUAUGCUAAUUUUUGCAAUGUUUUAGUUGAGUUACAGUCCUUGACAUAUUCCCUGCCCUCUUUCUGUUUGAUGGGACAUUUUUACAUUAUUACUAGACUUUUAAGGAUUGCAAAUAAAAUAUGAUUGAAGUCUAUUGUCCUGAUUUAUAUGAUUAUUUGCAGAACAUGUGAUUAAUGAAAUGUUUGGACAAGAGCAAAUGACCAUUAACCAAAUGUGAUGUGAUGUGCAUUCUUUCAAAGGUUUUUUGUUUAAAAUUUAUUUUCUGGCUGAUCCAAACAGUAUGUGAUGUGCAUUCUUUCAAAGUUUUUGUAAAAUUAAUUUCUGGCUGAUCCAAUUCGGAUGUG